UACGGAGGGGGCUAGCGUUGUUCGGAAUUACUGGGCGUAAAGCGCUCGUAGGCGGUUUGUCGCGUCUGCUGUGAAAACCUCAGGCUCAACCUGGGGCUUGCAGUGGGUACGGGCAGACUAGAGUGCGGUAGGGGUGACUGGAAUUCCUGGUGUAGCGGUGGAAUGCGCAGAUAUCAGGAGGAACACCGAUGGCGAAGGCAGGUCACUGGGCCGCAACUGACGCUGAGGAGCGAAAGCAUGGGGAGCGAACAGG
rnacentral:rRNA from 1 species